GUUCACAGGCAGAUGCUGCUCAGUACACACUGCCACAAUUAACUCAGUUCUUCAGUCAGUAGCAAGGAAAUUUGCUCAUGGGUUGCUUAUACAGAGGGAUGUCUUUGGAGGAAUUUGAUGGCAGAACAAAGCAGCCACUGCUUCGAUUUUCUGUGCGGAGCUGGCAGUCCCUGCAGACAGAGGCCCUGCUCUGUUCCUUUCCUGGCAGCAUCCUUGAGUCUUUGGGAAUAGGAAGGGAGUAAACUGAACAGUUCUGCUAAGGCCCAACUACUGUUACGGAGGGGACCUCCUGCUAAAGAGAAGAGUAUAUUCAGUGAUAUUUAUGCUGUAGGUAGGUAAGACUGUCUUGUGAGUGCAGACAGGUGCAUUGGUGGUUACACUGGGUUGCAGGCGUGCUUUGGGCUGAUAUUGUGUUGGAUGUCUGAAGCUAAGAAAGCACGAAUUUUUGUGCUGGGACAGAUGGACUUGGAAGACCUUGGAUGCUUCUAAAUUUGGAGGAUGAUUUAUUACUUUUUGCUUUUUAUAUGCAGUACUGAGCCAGUAUUCUUCCACGGUGUGAGAAGACAAUCUGCAGUUCUGUCUCAGGUGACCCUCGAGAGGAAAAGGCUGAUGCCUUUGACUUUCCCUUCCCUUCAAGAAAUGUUGAAAAAGUAAUUAAACGAAAGAAGAAGGAGUCCAAAGUCUGGCUUAAAGUCUGGAAAGUAAUUUCAAAAAUGCUUGAAGAAAAUGAAAAGUUCCGACAUCGACUGUUGACUUGCAGUCAGUUCAGUGGAGAAGGCAAUGAUGCGAACCAAAAUUCACAGAAGGGUUCCCCCUGGACAGGGAGUCCAUCUUUGGUUGGGUGUAGCAAGAAAAUAAAGGAAGAUUCAGGCCAAAAGGAAAUAUAAAACUACUGAAAUUGUUUUCAUCUAGAUCUUACUAAAAUUAGUGAGAAGACCACAAAUGAUUUACAUGAGCACUGUUUCUCUGUUGUUUGCUUGGCAUAUAUGUUUCUGCUGUUCAAUAGGUUUGUUUUUAAAGUGGCUUAAAUAGCUUCUUGCAAGAUAUUCGAAGUCAUUAAGUCUGAUAUUUCACUUAGUUAUUAGUUUUUGAAAGCUUUUUAGUGAGUAUAGUAUUGUGACAGUUUGCUUGUAAAAGAAUAAAGAUGCACAUUUAGUGUUGAUGUCUAUUUUAUUGGUUUUUUUUUGUAGCCUGUCAGAACCAUAAACAUAAAUUCAGUAAAGCAGAACCCCACGCAGCAUAUAGAAACACUUUUGUUCUUAGUGAUUUGAAUAAUUUUGAUUUUGUUAUAUUAAAAUAACACACAAUUACCUUUCUGCUCAUUCAUCCAUUUAGACAUGAAUCUCAGCAAAUAUUUUGAAUUUAAAACCAGGUGAAUGUUUUCCGCCUCACUGUUCAUCAUGAGGCCCAUAAUGAUAUCAUCAUAACCAGAAGGCAUUUACCUAGCUGACUUCAUUAACACAGUAUCAUUUUCUUCUGUUUUGGAGUUUUACACUUGGACUCCUGACUGUUAAAACCUUCUAAACUAGCAAAUUGCGUACAUGGAACACAAAGACUGCAUACAAAUAGUGUGUACACAAACUUCAUAGAUAAAACAUUCACCUGUCACAAUUAGACAUCAUUGGUUUCAGUAAAAGGGUGGUUUUCUCAUUGCAUAAUGUCUUACUGUUUGCAGACAUGGUGACUGGAAUGUCAGAGUGUUGAGCUUUAAUAACAUGCCAGUGAUUGUGUCAUUAAGCAGCAAAGCAUUUGGAAGGGUUUAAUCUCUGUUUACUUAACAGCACAACUGCAAAUGUGUAAAUGACAUGUGUCCUCCUGACAACAGUUCUGGCAUCAAGGUGUGGUUUUUUUUUUCUGAUUUGCAGUUGAAUGUUCUGAUUUGACUUGAAAUAGUUGACAUUUCAGCUUGUAAAAGGAAGUGAGAAAGCAAAGUAUUCAAUCAAGACAUGAUCAUUUUUCUGGCAGAGCAAAAAUGUCACAGUUCUUUGGUAUUUUCAAGAUUCGUGUUUGGAGUUGCGUGA